rnacentral:rRNA from 1 species
CAUGCAGUCGAGCGAAUGGAUUAAGAGCUUGCUCUUAUGAAGUUAGCGGCGGACGGGUGAGUAACACGUGGGUAACCUGCCCAUAAGACUGGGAUAACUCCGGGAAACCGGGGCUAAUACCGGAUAACAUUUUGAACCGCAUGGUUCGAAAUUGAAAGGCGGCUUCGGCUGUCACUUAUGGAUGGACCCGCGUCGCAUUAGCUAGUUGGUGAGGUAACGGCUCACCAAGGCAACGAUGCGUAGCCGAACUGGAGAGGGGUGAUCGGCCACACUGGGACUGAGACACGGCCCAGACUCCUACGGGAGGCAGCAGUAGGGAAUCUUCCGCAAUGGACGAAAGUCUGACGGAGCAACGCCGCGUGAGUGAUGAAGGCUUUCGGGUCGUAAAACUCUGUUGUUAGGGAAGAACAAGUGCUAGUUGAAUAAGCUGGCACCUUGACGGUACCUAACCAGAAAGCCACGGCUAACUACGUGCCAGCAGCCGCGGUAAUACGUAGGUGGCAAGCGUUAUCCGGAAUUAUUGGGCGUAAAGCGCGCGCAGGUGGUUUCUUAAGUCUGAUGUGAAAGCCCACGGCUCAACCGUGGAGGGUCAUUGUGAAACUGGGAGACUUGAGUGCAGAAGAGAGAAAGGAACUCUCCUCGUGUAGCGGAGAACCGUAAGAAUAGAGGAAAAAGACA